rnacentral:rRNA from 1 species
AUGAACGCUGGCGGCGUGCCUAAUACAUGCAAGUCGAGCGAACAGACGAGGAGCUUGCUCCUCUGACGUUAGCGGCGGACGGGUGAGUAACACGUGGAUAACCUACCUAUAAGACUGGGAUAACUUCGGGAAACCGGAGCUAAUACCGGAUAAUAUAUUUAACCGCAUGGUUCAAUAGUGAAAGACGGUUUUGCUGUCACUUACAGAUGGAUCCGCGCCGCAUUAGCUAGUUGGUAAGGUAACGGCUUACCAAGGCAACGAUGCGUAGCCGACCUGAGAGGGUGAUCGGCCACACUGGAACUGAGACACGGUCCAGACUCCUACGGGAGGCAGCAGUAGGGAAUCUUCCGCAAUGGGCGAAAGCCUGACGGAGCAACGCCGCGUGAGUGAUGAAGGUCUUCGGAUCGUAAAACUCUGUUAUUAGGGAAGAACAAAUGUGUAAGUAACUAUGCACGUCUUGACGGUACCUAAUCAGAAAGCCACGGCUAACUACGUG